rnacentral:rRNA from 1 species
GACGAACGCUGGCGGCGUGCCUAAUACAUGCAAGUCGAGCGGACGAAUCGAACGCUUGCUUUUGAUUCGUUAGCGGCGGAGGGGUGAGUAACACGUGGGCAACCUGCCCUGUAGACGGGGAUAACACCGAGAAAUCGGUGCUAAUACCGGAUAACACGAAAUGUCGCAUGACGUUUCGUUGAAUGACGGCGCUAGCUGUCGCUACAGGAUGGGACCGCGGCGCAGUAGCUGGUUGGGGAGGUCACGGCUUACCAAGGCGGCGAGGCGUAGCCGACGAGAUGGGGUGAUAGGCCACACUGGGACGGAGACACGGCCCAGACUCCUACGGGAGGCCGCAGUAAGGAAUCUGCCGCAAUAGACGGAAGUCUGACGGAGCAACGCCGCGUGAGCGAAGAAGGCCUUCGGGUCGUAAAGCUCUGUUGUUAGGGAAGAACAAGUAACGCAGUAACUGGCGUUACCGUGACGGUACCUAACGAGAAAGCCACGGCUAACUACGUG